rnacentral:rRNA from 1 species
UACGUAGGGGGCUAGCGUUGUCCGGAUUUAUUGGGCGUAAAGAGCGUGUAGGCGGCCUGGUAGGUCUGCUGUGAAAACUCGAGGCUCAACCUCGAGAUGUCGGCGGAAACCAUCUGGCUAGAGUCCGGAAGAGGAGACUGGAAUUCCAGGUGUAGCGGUGAAAUGCGUAGAUAUCUGGAGGAAUACCGGUGGCGAAGGCGGCAUCCUGGACCAUUACUGACGCUGAGGCGCGAAAGCUAGGGGAGCAAACGGG